GCUGUUUUUGGGGAUGACACGUUAUUCGUAAUGAUGGGGUCGCAGGUUCGAGUCCUGCAAGCGGCACCA
rnacentral:tRNA from 1 species